CGUGCGCAUGGUACGUCGUGGAAGUUACGGGCCUCAAAUUUGAUCAGUACAUGUCCAGCCACAACUCUGUCUUAACCUGUUUUCUGUAUUGUGCCCAAAGAAAAUGACAUACCAAGUAUACCUUCUUGCACAAAAUGUAAGGACAUCUAGUCCUCCUCCAUGUGGUAGAAAAUGGAUUAAUGGACCGAAAGAGGUUGAACUAGUAGCUAAGCUUAGGCAGAUAGGAUUAUCAGAUCAGAUUACCAGCUAAUUACGGCCUUACGAAGCUUCUUAAUUAAUGCUACACAAGCAGGUUACAUACGUAACAAAUUAAAGUGAAUGAGUUGUUAAGCAUCACCCUAAUUCAAGAACUUAGAAAGACAUUUUUCCAAUUGUAAAGAACUACAUUCUGUAUCUAUACUUGAAGAGAGUAAAAAAGACAAGAAAUCAGGCCUAGAGAGAGAGAGAGAGAGAGAAAAGACGGUUUUACAUCCACGAUUCAGGAAACUCGAGUUUGAGGAAACUCAAGUUCAAACUUGAGGGCAAAUAGCAUUUGUCAUCGCUCGACACAAAACUAAUCAAGUUGCAAGUCUAUUUUCCCUUGUUUACAAAAUAAUGUGGUGCAAUCCAGAUAAAACAACAAAAAAUGUAUAAAUAAAGUACUUAACAGUUGCAAGAGCCAACAUCUCUUGCACUAAUAGAAAACAAGAGACUAACACUUCGCAUAAAGAUGUUGCAAAAACUCCUUAGGAAAAAGAAGGAAAUGGGAUGAUAAAAACUUCACUAUGUUAUAUCAACUGUUCGAAAGUUUUCUAAAGCACUCAAUCCCUAUCUCUAUAGAAUCACUCUCGCCAUUCUUCCCGGACACAUGUAUGUAAAGGUUAGCACUUUGUAUCUAUACAGAACGCAAAAUCCCAAGUAAACCACGAAAA